CCCUUUAGCUUGAUCAGUAGAGUGCUGGAUUUGCAUGCCAGAAGACCUGGGUUCAAACCCCAGCAAAGGCA
rnacentral:tRNA from 1 species